GCCAAGUCUCCUUUUUAUUUGCUGUUAAGUUAGGGGGAAAAAAAAGACAUCUCAUGGGUGAGCCGCUGAUCCCUUGAGGUGACUGUGGAGUGGUGAAAAAUGCCUCCUCUGUACUGGGAGUCAGACAGUCGUGUCCUAAUUUGGCUUCUUUUACCGGCAAGCCCUAUGACCUUGACCAGUUUGCUUUGCCUUGCUGAGCAAGCCUCCGUCUGCCCAUCUAUAAAAUGGAUAAUGUCUUCUGGAGGAACUAAAUAUAAGCUCCAUAAGGGACUUCUGUCUGUGCAGUUUGCUCCUGCAUUCUGCUGCCUAAAACAGUGCCUGACACAGAGUAAGUGCUCUUAGUUGAAUGAAGAAAGAGUGAGUGAAUGAAUGAAUGAAUGAGUGGCCAUCUUGCAGGGCUGCUGUAAGGUUGAAAUAAGAUCACGGAUGUGAAAUUGCUUUCCCAACUGCAAAUUGCUUCACGUUCGUGAGGAUGUUUUAUCGUACAGAACAUUGUCUGGUUUCUCUCAAAUGAAUUUGUUCAGUCGAUGGGUCAUCGAUUGCUGAGUGAGCUUUUUCUUGGGUCUGGCAUUGGGAUCCAGGGGAAUAGGAGACCUGAUUCCUCCUUUCAGGUGCUCACAGUCCACUAGGAAAGUAUACAAAGAAAUACUAAAAUACAGCAGAGGUAAACAUGGAUGCUGUGAGAACAGACAGGAGAGACGGAUUCUCACUGGAAAUGGGUCAGUCAGGGAAAAAUGUUCUGGGAUUGCCUCCCGAAUCUAUAGUCAGACUCUUCCUAGCAAACAUAGGCCUUUGGGCCACUGAUUUUCCUUAUUACAUGCUUUUAACUCUCGUAUUGUCAUUUUCAUCACAGUCACUCCCUGACAGGCAAGUUCUCGUUCCCACGUGACUCCUUAGAUUGCUGGGCAAAGCCCCCACCUGCUCCAGGAGGCCCUUCACGUGCUCUGCCGCUGCGCCUGCGCAGUGUACCACGGCCGCAGAGAAACACGGAAACACGCUGAUUGCUGCCUGGCGCGCAGCUACAGAUUUCUUCUCUGCUCUCUUUCCAAGUCUCAAUCUUUCACAUUUUCUCCUCUAUCAUCCAAAUCCAACUCCUUCCCUAUCAUCAUAUCUAGCUGGAGACCUUGCUUCCCACCUCACCAAGUCCCACGUGCUCCCACCACCUCCUGCCACAGAGAAGCCCUGGAGGGGAGGGCGGGCCUCACUCUGCCCAUGGGCAGAAGCAGAGGGGAAGCUUCUGGAAACAUUCUCCAGGCAGGCACCGAGGAAGGACACUUCUUACUCAGAGAACAGUCCCCGCCCUGUCUGGAGGGGAGACAGAGCCUUCCUGUUAACUAGGCAGGCACCUGGUGGGACGAGGCUGAGAUGGGCAGGUUACUGGGAGGCCGAGAGAGGCUGCUGGGCCAGGGACUCUGGGACAUGGGAGGACGGCAGGCCCUGGGUUAGUGGGCAGGCGGUGCCCAUGGGGGAAAGGAGAGGCAUAUCCUCCUAGGCUGGAGCCCACACACAUGGAUUGAUGGAGAAGUACAUUGAGGAUGAUGUUUCCUGGAUGGGCGCGGUGGACGCAGGCCAGUCCCCCCCACUAGAGGCCCCCAUGCAGCCACAGCCACAUUUUCCCUUCAUUCCUCUGAAAGAUUCUCGGAAGAGGCUGUGGCAAGGCUUUCUGCUGGGGCCAGGAGCGAUGCACACGUGAAGAGGCAGCUUCUUCCCUCGGAGCAAACAGAGGAAGAUAAAGCCAGCAGAAGAUUCACUCACUUAGGAAGCAUUGAUGGCUCGCUGACUACGUGUGUCUGGCAGUAAACAGAACUGUUCUCACGGGCUGCUGGCAAGAAGCUCACAUUCCAGGGUGGCUGACUGAAGGCCAAGGAGGAAAGACCCCGAGUGCCAGGAAGGGGGGAGCUGAGCAGCGGAGAGGGGGCGAGGGGUGAAGAGGCACACAUCCAAGCAGAUGGUAGGGCCUCACUGAGAAGGUGGCCUGGGGCAAAGAUGUGAGGGGGAGCCCACCAGCCUGUGCAUGGCCUGCAAAGGCACAGCGCCCAGGCAGGGCUCAGAAGCAGCCAGGAGUGAUGGGGGGGGGGCGGGGACAGGUCCUACAGGUCCUUAGGGACUUCUGUGCUGACUCUGCCCUUUAUUCUUUUUGAAUGGGGGCCAUGGGAGGCCUUUGAGGAGAGGAGUCACGUGAUCUGCCUCGAGUUAGCAGGAUUUCUCUGGGGACUGUGUUGCAAACAGCUGAGGGAGCAAGGGUGGAAGCGAGAAGACUCCUUGUGAAGAUGUGAUGACGACUCAGCGGAGAGGUGAUGGUACCCAGACUUGGGUGGCCGAGGUGGGAAGACUUGGUCACACUCUGAACCUCUUUUGAGGGAAGAACCAGCAAUAUCUGCUGACAGAUUAGAAAGGCAGUGUGAAACAGAGGAGUGAAGAAAGACUCCAAGGAUUUGGACCCCAACAAAUGGAAAGACUGAGCUGUCAUUAGCCAAGAGGGAGAGAUGGCGAGAGAAGUGGUUCUGGGGUGUUUGGCGAGGUAGGAGUCAGGAAGUUGAUUGCUUAAACAUCAAGACGUUUUAGGCAAUGGGUGAUGCCUCAAGACGUGGGUUGGAGGUGUUGAGCUGACAGGAGAGAGGCCGGGCAGAGGCAGACAUUUGGGAGCCAACAGCAGAGAGAUGGUGUUUGAAGCCAGGAGGCUGCAGGAGAUCACAGAGGACUGAGGACUGAGACCUGGGUCUCCUGCAAAAUUUUGGGAAGAUGUGGAGGAACCAGCAAAGGGAGCUGAGGAGAAACCACCCAGAAAGAAGGGGGAUCAAGAGACUGUUGAUCACAGAAGCCAAGGGCAAGGAGCUUCAUGGAGGUGGUGAAUAGUGUGUCAUGUGCUGCUGCCUGCUCCACUAAGGUCCAGCCUGUGAUUUGACCAUCGGAUAUUUGGUGCAAGGUUGCUGUGACUUGAAAAAGACUACUUUUGAAGGGGUGUUGGAGGGUAGUGGGAAUUUGACCAGAGUGACUCCGAGAGCAAGAGAGAGGAGAGGAUUUGGAAGUAGGAUGUGUAUUCAACUCUUUUUUUUUUUUUGAGUAUCUUUGACAUGCAAAGGGGCAAAUUAGCAAAAUGGUAGCUGGAAGAGGAUGUGGGCUCCAGAGGAGGUUGUGUGUGUAUGUGUGUGUGUGUGAUCACAGGACAUUCUUAUGCUGAUGAGAAAUAUCAAUUCUAAAGGUAGAAAUUGAUAGUGGGGGAGACAAAAAGGAGAGAAUCACUGGAGCACUGGCCUUGAGUACAUGAGAUGAGAUGGGAUGUGGAACCCAGGGGAGGAGUGGGUAUUUGCUAGGAGCCCUGGCAUGCAUCCAUAAUAACAAAAGAGGGGAUACAGUAGAGAGGCCGGAGAGAUAGUGCAGUGUAUUCUCAGUGCCUAGCACAGAGACGUAGAAACCCAUGCUUCAUAGCACGCACUGUGUGCCAGGCACCACUCCAAGCCAUUUACAUAUAUGAAUUCAAAUUCUCUUAGCAACUCUGAGAUGAGUACUAUUACUGUGCCCACUUUACGGAAAGAGUACUGAGGCAUAGCGAUGUUAAGAACUUUGCCCCCAGUCACGCAAGGAGCAAGCGGCAUCGCUGACCGAUGACCGUCGCUGGCUACAUCAGUGUGGAUGGAGGGAUGGUGGAUGCAUGGGCUGAGGAAGGGAGGCUGCGUGGUUUGGGUGAGGCCAGAGCUGGGGUGCAGCAACUGGUUUCUCCUUCCUGCGAUGCCUGUUCAUUUGCAAAGCACUUACCAACUGAGUCAUGGGUCGGGGACGCAGAGGGUAGGGGCUGGUUCAAGUUCCGAGCAUGGCCUUGGUGUGGUCUGGAGGGUUCCUUUCUACUGCCAUGUAUCAUCAGCAGCGUCCGUGGGGAUUUACUGAGGCAUUUCCUCUCCUUUCUCUUUAGAGAUCCACCUGGGAGUCUGAGCACUGGAAGUGCCACAGCCCUCAUCUUCCUGAUGAAGGGAAGGGAGGGAGAAGGGAGUUGGCAUAGCAGCAGACCUGGUCAUGAUGCAGGCUGGCUGGGAGACCAUGGCCAAGGCACCUCUGACCUCCAGGCCUCAUCUAUGAAAAGCUGGAGACACUGGGAUGACAUCUUACUUUAUGGACACACAUGUUCUAUCAGCUCUCAUGUAGUGCGUACACCUGGACCGCAGACAGGUGCAGGGAGCCAGGAUAUGACAGAGAGCAGAAAGGACACAUUCUGACUUUGUGGAGAUUGUGGUCUGUGGUGGGGGAGGGUGGGGGUGGUUAGGCCAGGGAGAAACUGAUAAUCACUCUGUUAUAAACUGUGAUGCCAGUUUUGAAGGAACAUUCUACAGGGCUGUGACAGUACCCUUUCCCGAGCACUUUUGCAAUUUGUGGGGGGGGGAAUCUGACUGAGGUUUGACCCCCAAACAGAAACUGCCUUUGUUCAUUGUUCAUUCAUUCAUUUAUUCAUUCCUUUAACAAAUUAUAAUGAACACUUAUCUUUGGAGUAAGAACUUUGCAUUUUAUAUUCCCCAAGGAAAGUAUAAAUGAAAGCUGACAGAAAGGUAUAACGUGAAAUGGGACUGGGAACUGGUUUAUUUGUUCAACUAAAUUCUAGAGGAAUUUGACAAGUGCUGCAAGGUGGACCACGGUGAACCCAUGGCUUUGAAUUUGGGCUUUGCUAUGAGUCUAAGAUCUAAGGAUAAUUUUGGAACAUUCUGUAGUCUAAGUGUUUUCAUCUGUAUAUAAAAUAGAACAUUUCUGAAGUUCUGGCAGUCUAGUGGGUUGAGCAUCUGGUGUCGUCACUACUGUAGCUGGGGUUCAAUCCCUGGCAUGG
rnacentral:lncRNA from 1 species